rnacentral:rRNA from 1 species
CACCAUGGGAGUGGGUUUUACCAGAAGUGGCUAGUCUAACCGCAAGGAGGACGGUCACCACGGUAGGAUUCAUGACUGGGGUGAAGUCGUAACAAGGUAGCCGUAUCGGAAGGUGCGGCUGGAUCACCUCCUUUCCAG